GGAGUUAGCCGGUGCUUCUUCUGCGAGUAACGUCACAGAUGUAAGGUAUUAACUUACACCCUUUCCUCCUCGCUGAAAGUGCUUUACAACCCGAAGGCCUUCUUCACACACGCGGCAUGGCUGCAUCAGGGUUUCCCCCAUUGUGCAAUAUUCCCCACUGCUGCCUCCCGUAGGAGUCUGGGCCGUGUCUCAGUCCCAGUGUGGCUGAUCAUCCUCUCAGACCAGCUAGGGAUCGUCGCCUAGGUGAGCCUUUACCUCACCUACUAGCUAAUCCCACCUGGGCUUAUCCAUCAGCGCAAGGCCCGAAGGUCCCCUGCUUUCCCCCGUAGGGCGUAUGCGGUAUUAGCAGUCGUUUCCAACUGUUAUCCCCCACAAAUGGGCAAAUUCCCAGGCAUUACUCACCCGUCCGCCGCUCGUCAUCUUCAAAGCAAGCUUUUGAAAUGUUACCGCUCGACUUGCAUGUGUUAGGCCUGCCGCCAGCGUUCAAUCUGAGCCAGGAUACAAACUCUGA
rnacentral:rRNA from 1 species